rnacentral:rRNA from 1 species
UGCCAGCAUUCAGUUGGGCACUCUAAGGUGACUGCCGGUGACAAACCGGAGGAAGGUGGGGAUGCACGUCAAAUCAUCAUGCCCCUUAUGACCUGGGCUGACACACGUAGCUACRUSAAUGGACAGAACAAAGGGCUGCAAGACCGCAAGGUUUAGCCAAUCCCAUAAAUCUGUUYUCAGUUCGGAUCGCAGUCUGCAACUCGACUGCGUGAAGCUGGAAUCGCUAGUAAUCGCGGAUCAGCA